GCGCUCGCUUUGGCAGCACAUAUACUAAAAUUGGAAUGAUACAGAAAAGGUUAGCAUGGCCCCUGUGCAAGGAUGACAGGCAAAUUCAUGAAGUGUUCCAUAUUAAA
rnacentral:snRNA from 1 species